rnacentral:rRNA from 1 species
UACGUAGGGGGCUAGCGUUGUCCGGAAUCAUUGGGCGUAAAGAGCGUGUAGGCGGCUAGGUAGGUCCGUUGUGAAAACUCGAGGCUCAACCUCGAGACGUCGAUGGAAACCAUCUGGCUAGAGUCCGGAAGAGGAGAGUGGAAUUCCUGGUGUAGCGGUGAAAUGCGCAGAUAUCAGGAAGAACACCCGUGGCGAAGGCGGUUCUCUGGGACGGUACUGACGCUGAGACGCGAAAGCGUGGGGAGCGAACAGG